GGCUGGUCCGAGUGCAGUGGUGUUUACAACUAAUUGGUCACAACCAGUUGCAGAUUCCUUUCUUCCCCCUCCACUCCCACUGCUUCACUUGACUAGCCUUAA
rnacentral:Y_RNA from 1 species